rnacentral:rRNA from 1 species
AACGAACGCUGGCGGCAUGCCUAACACAUGCAAGUCGAACGAAGCCUUCGGGCUUAGUGGCGCACGGGUGCGUAACGCGUGGGAAUCUGCCCUUGGGUUCGGAAUAACAGUUAGAAAUGACUGCUAAUACCGAAUGAUGUCUUCGGACCAAAGAUUUAUCGCCCAAGGAUGAGCCCGCGUCGGAUUAGCUAGUUGGUGAGGUAAAGGCUCACCAAGGCGACGAUCCGUAGCUGGUCUGAGAGGAUGAUCAGCCACACUGGGACUGAGACACGGCCCAGACUCCUACGGGAGGCAGCAGUGGGGAAUAUUGGACAAUGGGCGAAAGCCUGAUCCAGCAAUGCCGCGUGAGUGAUGAAGGCCUUAGGGUUGUAAAGCUACUUUUUACCCCGGGGAUGGAUAAUGACAGUACCGGGAGAAUAAGCCCCGGCUAACUCCGUGCCAGCAGCCGCGGUAAU